CUUGAACGCUGGCGGCAGGCCUAACACAUGCAAGUCGAACGAGUGGCGGACGGAUGAGUAAUGUCUUGGAAACUGCCCGAUGGAGGGGGAUAACUACUGGAACCGGUAGCUCAUACCGCAUACCAUCGGAUGUGCCCAGAUGGGAUUAGCUAGUGGGUGGGGUAACGGCUCACCUAGGCGACGAUCCCUAGCUGGUCUGAGAGGAUGACCAGCCACACUGGAACUGAGAAACGGUCCAGACUCCUACGGGAGGCAGCAGUGGGGAAUAUUGCACAAUGGGCGAAAGCUUGAUGCAGCCAUGCCGCGUGGAUGAAGAAGGCCUGCGGGUUGUAAAGUACUUUCAGCGAGGAGGCGUUACUCGCAGAAGAAGCACCGGCUAACUCCGUGCCAGCAGCCGCGGUAAUAC
rnacentral:rRNA from 1 species